AUGGGAGUGACAAAGGAACGGGGUAGACGAAGCGGUCUGGAAAGGCCUGCCAGAGAAGGUGACAGCCCUGUAGUCGAAACUUCGUUCCCUCCCGAGUGGCUCCUGAGUACGGCGGGACACGGGGAAUCCCGUCGGAAGCAGGGAGGACCAUCUCCCAAGGCUAAAUACUCCCUAGUGACCGAUAGUGAACCAGUACCGUGAGGGAAAGGUGAAAAGCACCCCGGAAGGGGAGUGAAAGAGAACCUGAAACCGUGUGCCUACAAGUAGUCAGAGCCCGUUGAUGGGUGAUGGCGUGCCUUUUGUAGAAUGAACCGGCGAGUUACGAUGACGUGCAAGGUUAAGUCGAAAAGACGGAGCCGCAGCGAAAGCGAGUCUGAACAGGGCGCACAGUACGUCGUCGUAGACCCGAAACCAGGUGAUCUACCCAUGUCCAGGGUGAAGGUAGGGUAACACCUACUGGAGGCCCGAACCCACGCACGUUGAAAAGUGCGGGGAUGAGGUGUGGGUAGGGGUGAAAUGCCAAUCGAACCUGGAGAUAGCUGGUUCUCCCCGAAAUAGCUUUAGGGCUAGCCUCAAGGGAAGAGUCUUGGAGGUAGAGCACUGAUUGAGCUAGGGGCCCUCAUCGGGUUACCGAACUCAGUCAAACUCCGAAUGCCAAUGACUUAUCCUUGGGAGUCAGACUGCGAGUGAUAAGAUCCGUAGUCGAGAGGGAAACAGCCCAGACCACCAGCUAAGGUCCCAAAGUGUACGUUAAGUGGAAAAGGAUGUGGAGUUGCCCAGACAACCAGGAUGUUGGCUUAGAAGCAGCCAUCAUUUAAAGAGUGCGUAAUAGCUCACUGGUCGAGUGACUCUGCGCCGAAAAUGUACCGGGGCUAAACGUACCACCGAAGCUGUGGGAUGACCAACGGUCAUCGGUAGGGGAGCGUUCUAAGUGCGCCGAAGCGAGACCGGAAGGACUCGUGGAGCGCUUAGAAGUGAGAAUGCCGGUGUGAGUAGCGAAAACAGAGGUGAGAAUCCUCUGCACCGAAAGCCUAAGGGUUCCUGAGGAAGGUUCGUCCGCUCAGGGUUAGUCGGGACCUAAGCCGAGGCCGAAAGGCGUAGGUGAUGGGCAACAGGUAGAGAUUCCUGUACCACCUCCUCACCGUUUGAGC
rnacentral:rRNA from 1 species